rnacentral:rRNA from 1 species
GUGUGACUGCGUACCUUUUGUAUAAUGGGUCAGCGACUUAUAUUCUGUAGCAAGGUUAACCGAAUAGGGGAGCCGAAGGGAAACCGAGUCUUAACUGGGCGUUAAGUUGCAGGGUAUAGACCCGAAACCCGGUGAUCUAGCCAUGGGCAGGUUGAAGGUUGGGUAACACUAACUGGAGGACCGAACCGACUAAUGUUGAAAAAUUAGCGGAUGACUUGUGGCUGGGGGUGAAAGGCCAAUCAAACCGGGAGAUAGCUGGUUCUCCCCGAAAGCUAUUUAGGUAGCGCCUCGUGAAUUCAUCUCCGGGGGUAGAGCACUGUUUCGGCAAGGGGGUCAUCCCGACUUACCAACCCGAUGCAAACUGCGAAUACCGGAGAAUGUUAUCACGGGAGACACACGGCGGGUGCUAACGUCCGUCGUGAAGAGGGAAACAACCCAGACCGCCAGCUAAGGUCCCAAAGUCAUGGUUAAGUGGGAAACGAUGUGGGAAGGCCCAGACAGCCAGGAUGUUGGCUUAGAAGCAGCCAUCAUUUAAAGAAAGCGUAAUAGCUCACUGGUCGAGUCGGCCUGCGCGGAAGAUGUAACGGGGCUAAACCAUGCACCGAAGCUGCGGCAGCGACGCUUAUGCGUUGUUGGGUAGGGGAGCGUUCUGUAAGCCUGUGAAGGUGUACUGUGAGGUAUGCUGGAGGUAUCAGAAGUGCGAAUGCUGACAUAAGUAACGAUAAAGCGGGUGAAAAGCCCGCUCGCCGGAAGACCAAGGGUUCCUGUCCAACGUUAAUCGGGGCAGGGUGAGUCGACCCCUAAGGCGAGGCCGAAAGGCGUAGUCGAUGGGAAACAGGUUAAUAUUCCUGUACUUGGUGUUACUGCGAAGGGGGGACGGAGAAGGCUAUGUUGGCCGGGCGACGGUUGUCCCGGUUUAAGCGUGUAGGCUGGUUUUCCAGGCAAAUCCGGAAAAUCAAGGCUGAGGCGUGAUGACGAGGCACUACGGUGCUGAAGCAACAAAUGCCCUGCUUCCAGGAAAAGCCUCUAAGCAUCAGGUAACAUCAAAUCGUACCCCAAACCGACACAGGUGGUCAGGUAGAGAAUACCAAGGCGCUUGAGAGAACUCGGGUGAAGGAACUAGGCAAAAUGGUGCCGUAACUUCGGGAGAAGGCACGCUGAUAUGUAGGUGAAGUCCCUCGCGGAUGGAGCUGAAAUCAGUCGAAGAUACCAGCUGGCUGCAACUGUUUAUUAAAAACACAGCACUGUGCAAACACGAAAGUGGACGUAUACGGUGUGACGCCUGCCCGGUGCCGGAAGGUUAAUUGAUGGGGUCAGCGCAAGCGAAGCUCUUGAUCGAAGCCCCGGUAAACGGCGGCCGUAACUAUAACGGUCCUAAGGUAGCGAAAUUCCUUGUCGGGUAAGUUCCGACCUGCACGAAUGGCGUAAUGAUGGCCAGGCUGUCUCCACCCGAGACUCAGUGAAAUUGAACUCGCUGUGAAGAUGCAGUGUACCCGCGGCAAGACGGAAAGACCCCGUGAACCUUUACUAUAGCUUGACACUGAACAUUGAGCCUUGAUGUGUAGGAUAGGUGGGAGGCUUUGAAGUGUGGACGCCAGUCUGCAUGGAGCCGACCUUGAAAUACCACCCUUUAAUGUUUGAUGUUCUAACGUUGACCCGUAAUCCGGGUUGCGGACAGUGUCUGGUGGGUAGUUUGACUGGGGCGGUCUCCUCCUAAAGAGUAACGGAGGAGCACGAAGGUUGGCUAAUCCUGGUCGGACAUCAGGAGGUUAGUGCAAUGGCAUAAGCCAGCUUGACUGCGAGCGUGACGGCGCGAGCAGGUGCGAAAGCAGGUCAUAGUGAUCCGGUGGUUCUGAAUGGAAGGGCCAUCGCUCAACGGAUAAAAGGUACUCCGGGGAUAACAGGCUGAUACCGCCCAAGAGUUCAUAUCGACGGCGGUGUUUGGCACCUCGAUGUCGGCUCAUCACAUCCUGGGGCUGAAGUAGGUCCCAAGGGUAUGGCUGUUCGCCAUUUAAAGUGGUACGCGAGCUGGGUUUAGAACGUCGUGAGACAGUUCGGUCCCUAUCUGCCGUGGGCGCUGGAGAACUGAGGGGGGCUGCUCCUAGUACGAGAGGACCGGAGUGGACGCAUCACUGGUGUUCGGGUUGUCAUGCCAAUGGCACUGCCCGGUAGCUAAAUGCGGAAGAGAUAAGUGCUGAAAGCAUCUAAGCACGAAACUUGCCCCGAGAUGAGUUCUCCCUGACUCCUUGAGAGUCCUGAAGGAACGUUGAAGACGACGACGUUGAUAGGCCGGGUGUGUAAGCGCAGCGAUGCGUUGAGCUAACCGGUACUAAUGAACCGUGAGGCUUAACCU